rnacentral:rRNA from 1 species
AGUGAACGCUGGCGGUAGGCCUAACACAUGCAAGUCGAACGGCAGCACAGUAAGAGCUUGCUCUUACGGGUGGCGAGUGGCGGACGGGUGAGGAAUACAUCGGAAUCUACUUUUUCGUGGGGGAUAACGUAGGGAAACUUACGCUAAUACCGCAUACGACCUACGGGUGAAAGCAGGGGAUCUUCGGACCUUGCGCGAUUGAAUGAGCCGAUGUCGGAUUAGCUAGUUGGCGGGGUAAAGGCCCACCAAGGCGACGAUCCGUAGCUGGUCUGAGAGGAUGAUCAGCCACACUGGAACUGCGACACGGUCCAGACUCCUACGGGAGCCAGCAGUGGGGAAUAUUGGGCAAUGGGCGCAAGCCUGAUCCAGCCCUGCCGCGUGGGUGAAGAAGGCCUUCGGGUUGUAAAGCCCUUUUGUUGGGAAAGAAAAGCAGCAGGUUAAUACCCCGCUGUUCUGACGGUACCCAAAGAAUAAGCACCGGCUAACUUCGUG